AUAUCAAGGGAAAUAAAAUAAUUUCGGAUUAAGAACUUGAGGUUGAGCGUGACGGGUGUGGUGGGUGUUGAGCAAGACCGUUGAAGAAAUUUAAGUGUGUAGAAUGUGUAAUGUCUUCGCACGUGGCAUAUUUCUUCUCUCAAAUGUUUCUGCUAAGUAGUUGUUCUUCUUUUGAGUUCUUGUAUCGUUGAGAUAGUAUUCAUUUUUGAGUUGUUGAUUGUUGAGAUACUCUGAUUUUAUUCGAGCUAUUCCCAUUUGUUUCGAGCUA